UACGUAGGGUGCAAGCGUUGUCCGGAAUUAUUGGGCGUAAAGAGCUCGUAGGCGGUUUGUUGCGUCGGCUGUGAAAUCCCGAGGCUCAACCUCGGGUCUGCAGUCGAUACGAGCAAACUAGAGUGUUGCAGGGGAGACUGGAAUUCCUGGUGUAGCGGUGAAAUGCGCAGAUAUCAGGAGGAACACCGGUGGCGAAGGCGGGUCUCUGGGCAGCAACUGACGCUGAGGAGCGAAAGCGUGGGAGCGAACAGG
rnacentral:rRNA from 1 species